AUCGGUGCACCAAUAGGUCCUAAAUAAGAUCAUUAGUCUUAUAGGUUCACCAGAAGCUGUAGCUGGUUGUGUUUCCUACAGUACUUUGACAAAGAACAAGAAAGUGACAGAAGCCACACCUGCUGAUCCACUGAAGGAGGCGAGGCGUUGGGCCAUUUUACCGAAUAUAAGAAGGGAAAGAUAUCUGAACACAGCAUCACUACCCCCAAAUAUCAAAUAACAUCUUAGAACACCACAGAAGCCUUCACAGACAAAGAGAUGCUUCUCUCUGUCCUCCUUGUGCUGGGCCUCUGCCUGGUGCCCAGUCAAUCCAAACCCAUGGAGGAAAAACUCGGCAGUCCUUUUCUUCAGAAAUGCUUUGAAGAAGCAAAGAAAAUAGUAGACGACGCAUACAAAUACUCAAGAGAAGAGAGCCUCAGACGGGUCCGUAAGGAUGUGGUGCAGCCGCAUGAUGCUCUUCGUCUCCUGAAGCAGCCUCGUGGAGUCACUCGUUCAGCUGUGCGUUCUGCUGACUACAUGGCACAGACUCUCCGUUUGGUCCAAGAGAAAGUACAUCGUGUGCACAAGCGCUCCCUCAAUGCAACAGAUUUACUCACGGAACAAGAUUUGAAAGAACUUGCCCGGAUUACUGGAUGUGAGGCUCAAAUCAGGAAUCCACCAUGUCACAACACACCCAAUAUGAACAAGUAUCGCACAAUCACCAGCGUCUGCAACAACUUAAAAAACCCUCGCCUUGGUGCCUCCAACACCCCAUUCACCCGCUGGUUGCCCUCUGAGUAUGAUGAUGGCAUCUCCCAACCAAAAGGAUGGAACAAAACCCGCAGAUUCAACAACUUCUUGCUGCCAUUGGUGCGGCAGGUGUCCAAUAACAUCUUGAGCACAACAGAUGCAGGCGUUGUCAAUGACACAGAGUACUCUCACAUGGUGACCUUGUUUGGCCAGUGGAAUGACCAUGACCUCACCUUCACACCAUUUUCACCAAGUAUUCGCUCCUUUAGCAAUGGACUGAACUGCGACGAAAGUUGCGAGCAAAGUGAGCCAUGCAUCCCUAUCCCGAUCCCUCCUGGAGAUCCCCGGCUUCCCUCCCGCCCAGAUAGCUGCAUCCCAGCCUUUAGAUCUGCUCCUGCCUGUGGAACGGGUUACUCUGCAUUUAAUUUUGGUGGAGAACCCAGCAAGAGGGAGCAGAUCAAUUCACUGACGGCCUUUCUGGAUCUGGGGCAAGUAUAUGGCGCAGACGAGAAGCUUGCCCUGAACCUUCGUGACCUCACCAGUGAUGCCGGCCUGCUGCGCGUCAACACCGAAUUCAGGGACAACGGACGGGAGCUGCUGCCCUUCCACCCCCUGCAGGUGCAAAUGUGCGCCACCCGCAGAAGAAUCACCAACGACACCAACGCCAGGGAGGUGCCCUGUUUUAUUGCAGGUGAUGGCCGUGUGGCUGAGAAUAUUGCCCUGACAUCUCUCCACACCCUGUUUGUGCGUGAACACAACCGUUUGGCUCGUCAGCUGAAGAGGCUGAAUCAACAAUGGGACAGUGAGACUCUCUACCAAGAGGCCCGCAAGAUCAUGGGUGCUUACACCCAGACGUUUGUCUUCAGGGAUUAUCUUCCUCACAUAGUGGGUCCUGAUGCAAUGCGCAGACAGCUCGGACGUUACCCUGGCUACAACUCCAAUGUUGACCCCAGCAUCUCCAAUGUGUUUGCAACAGCCGCUUACCGUUUCGCUCACCUGGCAAUCCAGCCAGUUUUGUUCCGACUGGAUCCAAACAACAGAGAGCACCCUCGUUUCCCCAGUGUCCCCCUGUUCAAGGCUUUCUUCACCCCCUGGAGAGUCAUUUUCGAAGGCGGUAUCGACCCUUUGCUGCGUGGUCUGAUAGGACGUCCUGCUAAAUUGAACACCCAGGAUCACAUGAUGGUGGAUGCUCUGAGGGAGAGGUUGUUCCAGUUUGUGAUGCACCUGGCUCUGGACCUGGGUUCUCUGAACAUGCAGAGAAGUCGUGAUCAUGGCCUGCCUGGCUACAAUGCCUGGCGCAGGUUCUGUGGUCUGUCCCAGCCUCGUAAUCAGGCAGAGCUGGCUCAGGUUUUGAGGAAUCCCACCCUGGCUCAGAAGCUGCUGGAGCUCUACGGGACCCCCGACAACAUUGACGUGUGGCUUGGAGGUGUCGCAGAGCCAUUUGUGCCUGGCGGCCGCGUGGGUCCUCUGUUGUCCUGCCUCAUUGCAACUCAGUUCCAGAGGAUUCGUCAGGGUGACAGACUGUGGCACGAGAGCCCCGGCGUUUUCACGCCACAGCAGAGGCAGGCUCUGUCUGCUGUUACACUCUCCAGAAUCAUCUGUGACAACACCGGCAUCACAUCUGUGCCCAGUGAUGCUUUCAGCGUCGUCUCAAAUAGCAACCGUCUGGUGCAGUGCUCCACUCUGCGUCGCCUGGAUCUUACUGCAUGGAGGGAGAGACCCUCCAUGCAGUGACUCCGGUGAGACCCUGUGACUCCGGAUCCUCUGCUGGUUGUUCAGAGUCCAGUGGCAGAGAGAACCCAACCCAGACGGAUGAACUGAACAAUCUGGACCCUCUGGAUCUCCAGGACUCAUUAGACCCUGUGGACCCUGUAAAUGUUCAUUAUCCUCUGGACCUCCAUUAACCUCUGGAUCUGCAAGAGCCAUUGAAAUUUCAGACCAAUGAGGUAGUUGAUUCUGAGUAGUAAUUUCCAUAAAGUCUGGAAAUCCUUUGUAUAUUUUUUGUCAUAGCUCAGAUUUGGUUGCUUUAUGAAUUUGAUUAUUAUGUGCAAACAGUACUCUGCUCAUUUAAUUUUCUCAGCAUUUUGAUUUAUUUAUGUUUCUCCUCAGACCCAUUAAGACCAUUCAGCCCCAGAUGCCCUCUAGCAUCACCAAUAUUCAAACAUCAGUGUCCCUUUUGGGAUUAUGGGCCAUACACAGAGAGAUUCAUUUGUUUCUGUCAUAAAGAAACAAAACAAGCCAACACAGAUUGUGGACACGUCUAUUUAUAUUCCUCAGUCAUUGACUCUGCACUUUUCCCAUUGGAACAGAAAUCUGGGAUUACAAUGAAAAUUGUCAAGCUGGCCAUCAACAUCUUCUUCUCAAGACAUUUUUUCUUCACUAUGGGACAUAAACACACCCUGUGGAGUACUCAUUACUUUAGACCAACAUUUGGCUUUAUACUUUCAAAUAUAGAACUAGCAACUUCUUAGCAACAUAGAACAACUGGAAUCAACAUUUAGCUUAAUAGUUACUAAUAGCAGAACCAACCAGCAUUUAGCUUUGUAUGCUUACUAAUAGCAGCUCUGAACAAGAAUGUGGAGUGCUUAUUACUUCAGACCAACAUUUAGCUUUUUACUUUUAAUAUCAGAGCAAGAUCUAGAGAAACUCCUGUUAGUUUACUUAGAAACCCAGAAAAAGAAUAAAACAUGGAGAACCAACAUUUAACUUUAUACUGUAUAUUUACUAAUAGAAUCAAACAUUGAGAAACAAACUUAAGAUCCAUAGAAAACCCUACUAUUAUAUAGAUUAUGAUCUACUUAUUGUUAUUAAACAUGGGGAACCAAUAUUUAGUUUUGUACUUUAGUUUUGUUGUUUUCUUUGCAUUUUCUUCUAAUUCAUGUAAAGCAUUUUGAACUGCCUUGUUGCUGAACAUUUGCUAUAUAAAUAAAAUUACCUUACCCUCUCCAGGAUGAACUUCCCAUUAAAAAACACCAGUUUUUUGACUUGUGGGCUUUUAAAUUUGUUUACGUCAGUCACUCACAGCAGCAGAUGACCAGAUAAAGACACACCAUACCACUGUAUCCUCAUUUUACAAUUUAUUGUAAUAAUAAAGUAUCUUUGUGAGUUUUAUGCUAAAACUCACAAGGAUAUUUGCUCCAUGGGUUUAAAUUGAACUAAUGUGUUUAACUCUGUUACAACUUACAGUCUGUUAAACCAAAAAUUAGCAUUUGGCCAAGUUUGACGGGAUUAACCAGUAUUAAAUUGUGAACAUGUUAUGCACUAACAACAUGUACUUUAAAAUGUUAUGUUUUGCUUUGUUUGCUAAUAUUUUGGUUUACUGCAACUUUGUUGUCUUAUAUUGAAUAUUGCAUUCAAUAAAGCAAUUGAGCAAUCAC